UACGUAGGUGGCAAGCGUUGUCCGGAUUUAUUGGGUUUAAAGGGUGCGUAGGCGGCCUUGUAAGUCAGUGGUGAAAUACUCUAGCUUAACUAGAGGGGUGCCAAUGAUACUGCAGGGCUUGAGUACAGAUGAGGUAGGCGGAAUUGACGGUGUAGCGGUGAAAUGCAUAGAUAUCGUCAAGAACACCUAUAGCGAAGGCAGCUUACUGGGCUGUAACUGACGCUGAGGCACGAAAAGUGUGGGGAUCAAACAGG
rnacentral:rRNA from 1 species